GGACCAGCGGACCCGCUGCAAGCAAGCCGCUAAAGGCAGCCUGCCUGCCGUGCUUGGGGUGGCAAAACGCCUAGAGCCGCUCCUGCAGGCGAGAGCUCUUUCAGACC